GUCUAAGUCAGUGAUAUACAAAUUUCCCUUUGAAGGUGGAAGUGGAAGAAACUGUGCUCCCCUCCAAGUGAUGCAUGAAGGACCAUAGUCAAACCUGCUCCACCUAGCUUCUUUGCUCCUCCUAAUAAUAAAUGGACUAUGAAUCUUCAUGCCUACCUUCCAUCAAUGUUCUGCAUCCUUCGGGUGCAUGAGAAAAACAACAACAGCAACAAUAACAAAAACCUUUCCUACCUGCUUCAGAAUAGCAGGAAGAACCAAUUUGAUCUUGCUCACAAAGAAGAGAACAGAAGUCUUUAAGCAGAGAGUUGAAAUCUGGAGAAA